ensembl:lincRNA
GUUUGCGGGACACCUAGCUCCCCAUCUCCACCCCCCGUGUUGAGCAUAGUGACGCUGAUCCGAGGACCUCCGGGUAGAGCCAAGGCAGAAGAGACAGCCUGGGAAGGAGCUGCCGUACCUACCUGGACCUCGAGAGGGCAGCACAGGCCAGGGCACGGCGCUGGACUCUGCUCUCCCAAACCACGGGGCGCUGAAAGGGCUUCCAGCAUUCGUACAGUGUCAAUUGUACUAAUAGCCAAUAGCCAAUUCGGUACAGUGUCACCUGGGAAUCUGCUUUUACAACUUUGGGAGGAGGUUGAAAGUGAGUCAUCGGGCAACUCGGCUACCAAUGAUGACUUGAACCAUGUGUGCCAAAGAAAUUGUGACAACGAGAUGGAGCAAGACAUACGGACAGUGAAGUACAGGAUGAUACAGAUGGGGAAGAAAACAGUGAUGUAAAUCAACAUUUGACUAGUCAAAAUGGCACAGAACGGUCAAGUAGAUUUGAAUGAUCCAACGUUAGAACUAGGUCAGAAAAUGUGAUUAGGUUCUUGCCUGGGGUGAAACCUACUGGACAGAACGCCAACUCUGCGAUUCAAUGUUGGGAAUUGUUCCUGAUGGACGAUAAGCUGCAAGAUGUUGUGAAAUACACUAAUAAUGAAAUACAGGUGAAACAUUCUGUAUGUACCAAAAAUAAUCAGAAAUAUACUGAUCAUGACACCUCCCCGUCUGAACUAGAAGCCUUCACAGCAGGACCUUAUCAUUUUAAUCAUCAGAAUCUAAAGGCUUUAUGAAGAAGUGACAGAUGUGGCGUUUUUUUAGAACAAUGACACUCAAGAGAUUUUAUUUCCUUCAAAAUUGCCUACAUUUUGCCUGGCGUAGUGGCCCAGGCCUGUAAUCCCAGCACUCGGGAGGCUGAGGUGAGGCAGGAGGAUCGCCAUAAGUUUGAGGUCAGCCUGGGCUACAUAGUUCAAGGCCAAAUAAAAAAAAAUAAGUGGAUUAUUUUGUUUGUCCCUACAUAAGGAGGCUUUCUUCUCUGGUAGGGCGCUCAGACUCCUCUCAGGGCUCACUAGCAUAAUAAAGGUUUUUCUCCACCUCUUCAACUGACCAUAGGAUUCUUCAGUCAUCAGAUUAGGAGAGUUGUGGGGGGGGGGCAAAAAACAUUAUGAGAGGUGUAAGGGCCUGGGAUUUAGCUCAGUGGAUCCACCACCUGCCUCACAAGCUCAAGGUCCUGAGUUUGAUCCCUAGUACCAAAAAUUAUGAGAGCUGUGACCCAGAGCUGCCACACUGAGCUAUAAAGCUCAGCUGUGCCUCAGGGUUGUGGCACUUGGCUGCGACACUGAGCUGCUCUUCUCUGCCGCAACAUUAGGACUUGGUAGUCUGUGGCAGGAGUGUUGCCCUGAGUUAGGGAAACAUCUGGAACCAAGUGAUCCCUGCAGUCAGCCUUUAACAAAGAAGUGAGCUAACUAAGACAUUGAGGCUGCCUGCAAGACAGCCAAGCGGCAUGAUGACAUGGAGUGCAUAACCAACAUCACUGAGUGUUAAAGAAACCCCUGCAGGGAACUUGCAAGGCAGUCACGAAGGUGUCACAGGUGUUACAAACUCUGAAGAACCCCAGCUCACUGUGUAGCCCAGGCUGGCUUCCAGCUUGUGGUAAUCUUCCUGCCUCAGCCUCCCAAGUAUGUAUCAUAGUGUCCAGCCAUAUUUCUUUUUCUUAUCGUGACAAUUCAAACCAGUUCCUAGCACAAAGCUGCUUAGAAAGAGUAAGAACUUGUGUCUUCAACUUGACUUGAACAUUUCUCUCUAUUACUUGUCAGAUUUUUUUUUUCCUGUACUGGGAUUUGAACCCCACAGCUGCAUUGCCAAACUCAGAUUUAUUUUUUAUUUUAUUUUAUUGUUAUUUCUUUGGUGGCUGGGAGUGAACUCAGGACCUUGCACUUGCGAGGCAGGCAGUGGAACCACUGUAAAUCCCUGGCCCUAGAUUUAUUUUUAAAAUCAUGAUUUAGUGUUAAGCUUUAUCCACUAUUCUCCACACCUGUUGAGAUAAUCAUGCAUGUUUACCUUUUAAUGUGUUAAUGCUGUAAAUAUCAUUAAUAACUUUUUUAAGACAGGGCCUUUCCAUGUAGUUGUUAUGGCUUGUGUCUGUCUGGAUGUCCCCACAAAGCCUCAUGCGGCCACUGCAGUGGAGGCGGUUUCCGGGGUGGCUGGAUCUAAGUGUUCGGUGCUGGGCUUAAGGGUGUGUGAUUACUAAAUCAGCCCACUGAUUGGCACUUGCCCUAAGCCAGGUAGCCUAGACAGAGUAUAAAUAGGGCAGAAAGCAGCUGCUGCUGCCAACUGGUUGCUUUUUCUGUCUCUGCACGUUGUGAUCUCUUUCUCUUCUGCAGUGCCCCUCUGCCAUGCCACCCUGUCUUGCGGUCAGUCGAUGAUGGACUGAAACCUCUAUGAACUGCAAACCAAAUAAACUUCCCCCCCUUCUCUGUGGUUGUUGGGUAUUUUGUCUCAGCAAGAAGAAAAGUAACUGGAGGUACUCGAUGGGAGAUUCUAGUCAUAGCUCAGAAGAUCAGAAUGCUGAUAGAAGGGCUGAGGAUUUAGCUUAGUGGUUCUGCCGCCUGUAUGAUCCCUGGUACCCCCCAA